rnacentral:tRNA from 1 species
ACCGGGUUAGCUCAGCUGGUUAGAGCGUGGUGCUAAUAACGCCAAGGUCACAGGUUCAAUCCCUGCUCACUGCA